CCUACGGGGGGCAGCAGUGGGGAAUAUUGGACAAUGGGGGCAACCCUGAUCCAGCCAUGCCGCGUGUGUGAAGAAGGCCCUCGGGUUGUAAAGCACUUUCAGUGAGGAAGAACGCCUGGUGGUUAAUACCCAUCAGGAAAGACAUCACUCACAGAAGAAGCACCGGCUAACUCCGUGCCAGCAGCCGCGGUAAUACGGAGGGUGCGAGCGUUAAUCGGAAUUACUGGGCGUAAAGCGCGCGUAGGUGGCUUGAUAAGCCGGUUGUGAAAGCCCCGGGCUCAACCUGGGAACGGCAUCCGGAACUGUCAAGCUAGAGUGCAGGAGAGGAAGGUAGAAUUCCCAGUGUAGCGGUGAAAUGCGUAGAGAUCGGGAGGAAUACCAGUGGCGAAGGCGGCCUUCUGGACUGACACUGACACUGAGGUGCGAAAGCGUGGGUAGCAAACAGGAUUAGAUACCCUAGUAGUC
rnacentral:rRNA from 1 species